rnacentral:rRNA from 1 species
AGCGAACGCUGGCGGCAGGCCUAAUACAUACAAGUCGAGCGCACCUUCGGGUGAGCGGCGGACGGGUGAGUAACGCGUGGGAACGUGCCCUUUGGUACGGGAUAACUGAGGGAAACUUCAGCUAAUACCGUAUGUGCCCUACGGGGGAAAGAUUUAUCGCCAUUGGAGCGGCCCGCGUUGGAUUAGGUAGUUGGUGAGGUAAAGGCUCACCAAGCCUACGAUCCAUAGCUGGUCUGAGAGGAUGAUCAGCCACACUGGGACUGAGACACGGCCCAGACUCCUACGGGAGGCAGCAGUAGGGAAUCUUGCGCAAUGGGCGAAAGCCUGACGCAGCCAUGCCGCGUGAAUGAUGAAGGCCUUAGGAUUGUAAAAUUCUUUCACCGGGGAAGAUAAUGACGGUACCCGGAGAAGAAGCCCCGGCUAACUUCGUGCCAGCCGCCGCGGUAACAC